rnacentral:pre_miRNA from 1 species
GAGACACCCUUAUGGGGCAGGACUUUCAGUGGCGCUUUGGUGCUCACUGAGUCUGCCCUUUGAGUGUACCUCU